rnacentral:rRNA from 1 species
AACGAACGCUGGCGGCAUGCCUAACGCAUGCGAGUCGAACGAGACCUUCGGGUCUAGUGGCGCACGGGUGCGUAACGCGUGGGAACCUGCCCUUAGGUUCGGAAUAACUCCCCGAAAGGGGUGCUAAUACCGGAUAAUGUCUUCGGACCAAAGAUUUAUCGCCUUUGGAUGGGCCCGCGUUGGAUUAGCUAGUUGGUAGGGUAAAAGCCUACCAAGGCGACGAUCCAUAGCUGGUCUGAGAGGAUGAUCAGCCACACUGGGACUGAGACACGGCCCAGACUCCUACGGGAGGCAGCAGUGGGGAAUAUUGGACAAUGGGCGAAAGCCUGAUCCAGCAAUGCCGCGUGAGUGAUGAAGGCCUUAGGGUUGUAAAGCUCUUUUACCCGGGAUGAUAAUGACAGUACCGGGAGAAUAAGCUCCGGCUAACUCCGUG